GAUGAACGCUGGCGGCGUGCUUAACACAUGCAAGUCGAACGAUGAAAGCGGGAGCUUGCUCCUGCUGGAUUAGUGGCGAACGGGUGAGUAACACGUGAGCAAUCUGCCCCGAACUCUGGGAUAAGCGUUGGAAACGACGUCUAAUACCGGAUACGACGCGCGAAGGCAUCUUCUGCGCGUGGAAAGAACUUCGGUUCGGGAUGAGCUCGCGGCCUAUCAGCUAGUUGGUGAGGUAACGGCCCACCAAGGCGACGACGGGUAGCCGGCCUGGGAGGGUGACCGGCACACUGGGACUGAGACAGUGCCCAGACUCCUACGGGAGGCAGCAGUGGGGAAUAUUGCACAAUGGGCGCAAGCCUGAUGCAGCAACGCCGCGUGAGGGACGACGGCCUUCGGGUUGUAAACCUCUUUUAGUAGGGAAGAAGCGAAAGUGACGGUACCUGCAGAAAAAGCACCGGCUAACUACGUGCCAGCCGCCGCCGUAAGAC
rnacentral:rRNA from 1 species